UUUGUGCCGCUUCUCUUGGUUCAUGCUCAUGAGCUUGUUUUUGGUUCCUGAGCUUUGGAAGGUGAAGCAAAAGUCUCAAUGGUUCCUCUCGCUAUCCGGUGCAGAAUUUUCUUUUGAUGCUACUGGACGUCGAGGAACUAUAUUU